GGAAACCACCACACAUUUCCUUAAAUGCAGGGACCAGCUCACAUGGGAAAUGAUCUCUGAGAGUCAUGGACCUCCUGUGCAAGAACAUGAAGCACCUGUGGUUCUUCCUCCUCCUGGUGGCAGCUCCCAGAUGGGUCCUGUCCCAGGUGCAGCUGCAGGAGUCGGGCCCAGCAGUGGUGAAGCCUUCGGAGACCCUGUCCCUCACCUGCGCUGUCUCUGGUGGCUCUAUCAGCGAUGGUUACUACUGGAGCUGGAUCCGCCAGCCCCCAGGGAAGGGACUGGAGUGGAUUGGGUAUAUCUAUGGUAGUGGUGGGAGCACCUAGUACAACCCCUCCCUCAAGAGUCGAGUCACCAUUUCAACAGACACGUCCAAGAACCAGUUCUCCCUGAAGCUGAGCUCUGUGACCGCCGCGGACACGGCCGUGUAUUACUGUGCGAGAGACACAGUGAGGGGAGAAGAGGAAGAGACACCAGAGACCUCUCACUUUUCACGUGCACGCAGAGAAGAGGCCAUGUGGAGACGCAGUGUAUUAGAAGGUGCCCCAGUGCAUGCCAGGAAGAAGCCGCACCAAGAACCAACCCUGCCAGCACCUUGAUCUUCAACAUUCAGA